rnacentral:rRNA from 1 species
CCUACGGGAGGCAGCAGUGAGGAAUAUUGGUCAAUGGACGCAAGUCUGAACCAGCCAUGCCGCGUGCAGGAAGACGGCUCUAUGAGUUGUAAACUGCUUUUGUACGAGGGUAAACGCAGAUACGCGUAUCUGUCUGAAAGUAUCGUACGAAUAAGGAUCGGCUAACUCCGUGCCAGCAGCCGCGGUAAUACGGAGGAUUCAAGCGUUAUCCGGAUUUAUUGGGUUUAAAGGGUGCGUAGGCGGGCGGAUAAGUUAGCGGUGAAAUCCCGAGGCUCAACUUCGGAAUUGCCUCUGAUACUGUCCGGCUAGAGAGAAGGAGCGGUAGGCGGAAUGUAUGGUGUAGCGGUGAAAUGCAUAGAGAUCAUACAGAACACCGAUUGCGAAGGCAGCUUACCAGGCUACUUCUGACGUUGAGGCACGAAAGCGUGGGUAGCAAACAGGAUUAGAUACCCCGGUAGUC